UUACUCAUUUCUUCCGUUUAUUUGCCUAGUCCUCAAGAAAUAUUUGCUUGAUGUGACUUCUUGGAACCAAAUGUUGGUGCCCAACUGAAAGGGAUGGAGCCCUCCGGACUGGGAAGUUCCGCUGAGGAUGAGGGCGGCCGCCAUUUUGAAACGAACAGACUCCAAAAGCACGCUCCACGGGGCCUGCCCCUGAGAUCUUAAAACGGAUGUCCGUGAAAUGUGACCCAUGAAUAGCAGUUAUCUGGAGAGAGAGCUCUGAAGCCGAUGAAACCAUUAGAGCCACUGAAGGCAGCUGGUAAAUGCGAUGCGGGGAGUACAGAAGAGAGAAUCAGAAACACACCGGCACUCUCAUUCCCAUGAGGCCACUUACAGUGGGUAAAACGUCGCUUGAGAAGAGCGGCAGCUCCAGCCUGAAUGAGAAGCACGUCCUCCUGGGAGUUACAUCAGCAGCCUGGCCUUCCAUCUUCCUCCUCUAAAGAAACGUCCCUGCCACCCUGAGCAUCAAGCCCUCGCGUUCCUAAAGGCCGAGGCGCUUCUUCUCAUUUACUUCCCUUGAGGAAGAAAGACCAGCCCAUCCACCCUCAUUUCCCACCGAAGGGCACCGCAAAUAAAGUUUGCCCACGCAACCAGGCCACCACCAUUAAUUUCUCUCUGCCCUGCUCUUACAUUCUCCUCAAGGUUUUCAAUCCCUUAGAGAGGCUCCCUUCCCUCUUUUCUUUCCUUCCUCCAGCCCCCCUUUUCACCUCCCUCCACCAUUGUUUGAGGUUAAGAAGCAUGCUACGGUGUUCUAUAAAUUACUUGCCAAGAGUAGACGACAAAAGCAAAAUAUAAUUCAGAUUAAAGUCAUCCUCCCGCUGAAAUGAUAGUUUCUUAAAUAAAUGGCGAUGCUGCCUAUCAAUCUUGCAGGCAACUGGUCCUCUCAUAUUCAUCUUUCUAGGGGUGAUUUAGGAUCCACCUGGGUCCUCCGAGAAGAUUCUCCCAUCAUUUCCUUCCCAUCUCUCUGGAUCUUGCUGCUGGGCUUGGCGCAGUUGACAAAUUCUCCAAGUAAUCCCUCAAAAGAUUGGAGAAAUGCUCCGAACGCUCCAUUAAAUUUAUUUUCCAUGCUUUAAGAGACCCAAAACUAUGUCCAAUAAAUAAGUGUUCCCUGUGA